rnacentral:rRNA from 1 species
UGUUCCUACGGGAGGCAGCAGUGGGGAAUAUUGGACAAUGGGGGGAACCCUGAUCCAGCGACGCCGCGUGAGUGAAGAAGUAUUUCGGUAUGUAAAGCUCUAUCAGCAGGGAAGAAAGAAAUGACGGUACCUGACUAAGAAGCCCCGGCUAACUACGUGCCAGCAGCCGCGGUAAUACGUAGGGGGCAAGCGUUAUCCGGAAUUACUGGGUGUAAAGGGAGCGUAGACGGCAAUGCAAGUCCGGAGUGGAAUGCGGCAGCUCAACUGCCGAACUGCUCUGGAAACUGUAUGGCUUGAGUGCAGGG